GCUGGGCGUGGUGGCUCCCGCCUGUAGUCCCAGCUACUCAGGAGGCUGAGACAGGAGGAUUGCUUGAGCCCAGGAAGUCAAGGCUGCAGUGAGCCAUGAUCACACCACUGCACUCCAGCCUGGGUGACAGAGUGAGACCCUGUCUCAA
rnacentral:SRP_RNA from 1 species